AUAGCUGUGUAACUGCUAUUGUAGUGAAUCAGCAAAGAAAUUUGUAGUUGAGAUAUACUCCCAUUAAUUAAUGUCUAAUCCUCAACCUCAAGACUAUAAUUAUGGUGAGUCUGAAGAAAAUGGUUCAAGGUUUGCAAUUACGUCGUUGAGUGCAAGAAUUGCUGCCAUGAUUUCUCUAAUAGUAGCAAUUGCAGUUUUUCAGACCAAUGAUACCAAGAUGACACUGGCUAUGUCUACACAUACAAGGGUACGGUUUCGGGGUAGCGUUGAUUGGACUUGGGUACACGGUGCUUCAAGUUCCAUUCUCGAUUCACUACAUGAUGAGGAAGAAGCAUCUCAUAAAUAGCUACGCCUUCCUUAAGUUCGAUUUCUAUGCGGACAAGGUUGCGGCGUUGUUGGUGGCAACGGCGACGGGGGCGGUGUUUGGAACGACAGGGGAUAUGAAGAAAAUACGGUUGGUAUUUGUAACGACAGUGGAUAUGACGAAAAUACAGAGGGAUAAUGAAUUGGAGAGGUUCUUGUCGGUGUCAUAUAUUGCGGCGGCGUUUCUCCUAGUUGGAAGCAUUGCAUGCUGGAUUUCAUCUGUUCAUUCAUCCCUCGCCCUCUCUAAAAAAUUACGAUCACACUCUUAACCAUCACUCUACUUGUAUCACAAACUAGUCAACCAUCUAUAUAUUCAUAUCAUUUCUCGAUUGAAAAACAUAUACUUACAAUAAAGCGUAAUAGACAAAGACUUUUUUUUGGUUAUCAGAA